GGGGACGGUUUCGCGCGUCCGUGCGUGUUCUCGGUGCCCGUGUUCGACAGCAGCAAAGCUCCAGCACUAGCAAAACAGCAGCAGCAGCAGUAUUUCGGCUUGUCAAGCAGCGCGGCGGCCGCAGUGGUGAAGAAAAAAAACGUGAAUUCUAGUGGACGGUGGUGGUUAACCGCACCGAGAAACACACAUCAUCCGACGGCGGCAGUGUGUGCGAUAGCGCGGAGUGGCCGCACCACAUCAAAAGCAGCGUGUGUAUUGGGCUCGAACUUGCAAACGGCCAUCUAACGAACUGUGGCCGGUUCACGGAAGGCCCAGCGAAAAGGUGUUCGUUGGCUACAAAAAGCUAUAAAAAGUUAGUUUAUAAAUCUAUAAACCAAUCUACGACAGGCAACACUCUUUAGGCCCGGUGUUUGUAAGUGUUUCUUUCGUGGGCCUUUUGGGUGAAAAAAUCGGUUGCCAAAAAAAAGGGAAAAUUGUGUGUUCAGUGCGCGGAAGAAUGGAAAAGUGCGCAAUGUUGUAAGAAUAGUGGGCGAAAUAGCAAAUGAAAGAAAAGAAAAUAUCCAAGCCUACGAGCAAAUGAAAAGUGAGAGUGAAUAAGCGCAAAAAAGGGGUGGUGAGUGAGAGUGAUUGUAGGCGUAAAAAGUGUAGCGGGAGGGAAGAGAUAGAGAGAGAGCGAGAGAAAGAUCGCGAAUAGCGAAACGGCACCGCAGGGAAAAGGAAAAGCAAUGCAAAAGGUGCGAAAGUAAACGCAGGAAAACAAACGGCCUUCCGCUAGUAAUGAAAACGAGGAAAAGUUCCGGUGCUUAAGGCAGCGUUUCUGCUCGGGAGAGCAAAAUUAAAAACGGCGGCAAUGUUCUGUUCCCGUAGUUUCGCAUAAAGGCUAUUUCGCAGUGUGCUACCGUCGUCGUUCGUUUCGAAAAUCGAGUGUCGGAGAGUGCGGGAAUGGUGACGAUGUCAUUGUAAGUUUCCCAGAAGUGCCAGGGAUACCGUCGGAAGGAAGGAAUGGUUGGAAUUUUGAACCACCCGGCUGUGUGAAAAAUAAAAGUUUUCUCCUCAAUACCACCCUUCGGAAUCGGCACAAUCCCAGGCAUGGAUUACGAGGCGUUGCUGUUACUUCUGCUGGCGUAAGGACAUCGAAAACGGCCGUGUGAAGGAUUUUUGUUCGCCACCCGGUAGUGUUCCAGGUCUUCCAGAAGGACCAAACGUCAAAAUCGUCGCUAUUCCUGUUCAGAGGUGUCCUUAAAAGGUGCUACUAACAGUCUUGGGAUCUGGUGUGUUGAUACGCUGUGGAAUUUUACCGAAAGCAGCAAUUCCUUCCCAUCAACCGGCGGCCAUUCGGUGUAAAACGGAACGACGAUGGUGUCGC